rnacentral:lncRNA from 1 species
GAAAAGAAUUUUUAGAGAUCAGUGACAAGAAUGAUAAUGACAAGUUUACCAAUAAAAAUAUGAUUGGAAAUGAAUCAGAAAGUAAUAACAAGAGGGUCAAGACAUUUGGAUUUGAAAUGGGAAGUCACCAUAAAAGACUCAAUCAUGUGUGAAUUACAAGUUAAAUUAUGAAACAAAUUUAUGUUUUCGGGUGACUGGAGUCUAUUUUAUUUGUAGAAAGUUGGAUCAUAAAAUAAAAGACUACCCUUUGAACAAGAAGAAAGAGUCACUGCCUCUUAAAUCAUCAGCCCAUGUCAGAGUGUAUGCUAUCACUGAAUAUGAUUCUAAAACUUCUGAAUUAGUGAUCGAAGGUAUUAUGCAUGUUUAUGAAAGAAUGUAAAUAUUUGUUUGACCAUGG